UGGGGAAUAUUGCACAAUGGGCGAAAGCCUGGUGCAGCAACGCCGCGUGAGCGAUGAAGGCCUUCGGGUCGUAAAGCUCUGUCCUCAAGGAAGAUAAUGACGGUACUUGAGGAGGAAGCCCCGGCUAACUACGUGCCAGCAGCCGCGGUAAUACGUAGGGGGCUAGCGUUAUCCGGAUUUACUGGGCGUAAAGGGUGCGUAGGUGGUUUCUUAAGUCAGGAGUGAAAGGCUACGGCUCAACCGUAGUAAGCUCUUGAAACUGGGAAACUUGAGUGCAGGAGAGGAAAGUGGAAUUCCUAGUGUAGCGGUGAAAUGCGUAGAUAUUAGGAGGAACACCAGUAGCGAAGGCGGCUUUCUGGACUGUAACUGACACUGAGGCACGAAAGCGUGGGGA
rnacentral:rRNA from 1 species